CACAAAAUGACUCUCGGCAACGGAUAUCUCGGCUCUUGCAUCGAUGAAGAACGCAGMRAAAUGCGAUACUUGGUGUGAAUUGCAGAAUCCCGUGAACCAUCGAGUCUUUGAACGCAAGUUGCGCCCGAAGCCAUUAGGUUGAGGGCACGCCUGCCUGGGUGUCACAAAU
rnacentral:rRNA from 1 species